rnacentral:ncRNA from 1 species
AAAAGCUUCAUUCUUACUGUGGAUGUGAGUGAUACUAAAGUAUUCGCCUGAGAACUACGAGCACAAACGCUUAAAACUCUAAGGACUUGGCGGUGCCCCAAACCCACCUAGAGGAGCCUGUUCUAUAAUCGAUAACCCACGAUACACCCGACCACUUCUUGCCAAGGCAGCCUACAUACCGCCGUCGCCAGCUCACCUUCCCUGAAAGAACAACAGUGAGCACAAUAGCCCCUCGCUAACAAGACAGGUCAAGGUAUAGCCCAUGGAGUGGAAGAAAUGGGCUACAUUUUCUAUAAUAGAAAACCACGGAAAGAGGCAUGAAACCACCUCUGGAAGGCGGAUUUAGCAGUAAAGAAGGAUUAUAAAGCCACCUUUAAACCGGCCCUGGGGCACGUACAUACCGCCCGUCACCCUCCUCAAAAAGCUUUAAUUUACUAUACUUAAUGCCCCAAUCAGCUAAAGAUGAGGUAAGUCGUAACAAGGUAAGUGUACCGGAAGGUGCACUUAGCAUACCAAGACG